GUCAGUUAAAAAUAGCUGACAAACAUAAUGUGAGCAUUAACAGACAAAAUCAUGAGGUUAACAAGACGAUGAAAAUCUAUGACUGAUAAAAUACUGCUGCUAACAUUUCUCGGUAUUGGAACUUGCAUUGUUGGAAUGUCCCUAAUGAAGAAGUUGUUCCGUCGAAAAAAGAUGAAACAUUCACAUCUGAACGAAAGUGUGGCGACUGCAACUUUGAAGGAAGUAUCUACUGACAGUUUACUCGAUUCUGAAACAGACCAAUCAGAGAUAAAUGAAGAGAAAGAAAGCGAAGUGAUUAAAUCAACGUCUUCGUCAUCAUCAAACUCUGAUGCGUCUAUAAAUCAAAAUGUUAGGAAAACCAGGCGAAAGUUGAACUCUGCUCUCAGGAAAUACAGAAGAACAGAAACGAAAUUACGACGAAAAAAGAAUGAAAUAGUACAAAUGGAAAGUGAAAUAGAAAAUCUCGUGCAGGCUGUGAAGAACAAUGAAGUCAGUAUGGAAUCUCUACAUGAAGAAUUUAAUAGCAAAAAGUUGGAAAUGUUAGCCAUUACGUCAUUCAUUACACCUGAAUCGGAAAGUGAUAUUAGGAAGAAAGAAGUUCUUUGCUAUAAGCGGUACUCCAAUAUCAAGACGGUAGUAGACGCCAAAAGUGUACUGACAAUGAUCAGACAGAGACAGAAAGCAUUAAAAACUUUGGAGAUCCUUACUUUUAAGAAAUUCUGGUCCAUCGCACACAAAACAGACAAGACAGAAAACACUGCAGUUAUUCGGAGUGGGAUAGAAAACUGGUUUCGUCAUUUUAGACACAAUACAUUUACUAGUGAUUCAAGCCAAGAGAGCCAAAAUAAUACUCAAGAGGAAAAAGAAGAGACACAUGCCGCAAUUUUUGCAAACCCUACGUUUGUACCUUUAGUCGAAGCAACGAUAUGAAUAAAAAAAGAAAGACUUCUCAAAGAAACUGAGUAAUACACUUAAUAUUGUUUUUCCGAUACUAAGGCAACAACCAUUUGAUAAAUCUUGUAAAUGUUGCAAGAAGAACCCAUUCACUUAGGCGCGAAAAUUAUUUAUCAUCUUCCACAAAAAGUAGUAGUUGAACAAUUUUGUUUUCUGUAUGCAAAUUUAAAACAAUUGAAGUAAUGGAGUAAUGUAAACAUUUAAAAAUAAUAAUAAUAGAAUAAAAGGAUAAGAAAAUGUCUAUCAGAAAAAUCCAUGACCAUCUCUAAGAAAUCAGUUUUCAAUUUGGUAAACCCUGGUAACAACAAAAUUUUCCAUUUGUGAUUUUUUCCUGAUAUAUAAAAUGGGUAGGGGUCCAUACAUAAUCUGCAAAAGUUUGGUUGGUGUUACCGUUGCAUUUUAUAUUAAGUGAAUAGUGAAAAUCACCAGUUUCCCCUCCCACAAUAAAAAAAGUCGAAAACACCAGUAGGUGUACAUUGUUGUUAGCACAUUUUGUCGAUAGAAAUAACCAUACCUGUUUACAUAUCUAGUAAAAACAUAUUUUGAAGUAAAUCUGAUAUGUCAUAGUUAUAUUUAUGGCCUGAAUGUAAAUUAAUGGUUGAAAAUCAAUGAACAUGUCAUAAAUUUGGGUUAAUCUCAGAUUUAAUUUUUCCAAACACAGCCAGAAAAAAAUCUUUUAGUUAAUUUUGCAAAAAAAUGCUGUAACAGUUACCGUAUAUAGGCCUAUAACUUUAAAAUCACAUACUUCCAUGCAAUUUGACAGUUUUUACAAAAAUCUGUUAACUAUUUGACUAACAGACAUAAAAAGAAACAAGAACAUUUUGAAUUAAAUUAUUAUUUUUUCCACAAACACUUCUAUGUAAAGUUUUUCUUACUAGUAUGUUUUGUGUGCGUAGUAAAAAAUGUUUCAUCUAAACUUUAACUACAGUAAAGUUUUUACGGAAAAUCA